CAGGAUGAACGCUAGCUACAGGCUAACACAUGCAAGUCGAGGGGUAGCAGGGUAGCAAUACCGCUGACGACCGGCGCACGGGUGAGUAACACGUAUCCAACCUUCCCAUAACUCAGGGAUAGCCUUUCGAAGGAAAGAUUAAUACCUGAUAGUACUUUUUCAAGGCAUCUUGAGAAAGUUAAAGAUUUAUUGGUUAUGGAUGGGGAUGCGUUCCAUUAGAUAGUUGGUGAGGUAACGGCUCACCAAGUCUUCGAUGGAUAGGGGUUCUGAGAGGAAGGUCCCCCACAUUGGUACUGAGACACGGACCAAACUCCUACGGGAGGCAGCAGUGAGGAAUAUUGGUCAAUGGGCGAGAGCCUGAACCAGCCAAGUAGCGUGAAGGAAUGAAGGUCCUAUGGAUUGUAAACUUCUUUUAUAGUAGAAUAAAGUGAUCCACGUGUGGAUUUUUGUAUGUAUACUAUGAAUAAGGAUCGGCUAACUCCGUGCCAGCCGCCGC
rnacentral:rRNA from 1 species